rnacentral:rRNA from 2 species
UUUAUCGGAGAGUUUGAUCCUGGCUCAGGACGAACGCUGGCGGCGUGCCUAAUACAUGCAAGUCGAGCGGAUUGAUGGGAGCUUGCUCCCUGAUAUCAGCGGCGGACGGGUGAGUAACACGUGGGUAACCUGCCUGUAAGACUGGGAUAACUCCGGGAAACCGGGGCUAAUACCGGAUAACUCAUUUCCUCGCAUGAGGAAAUGAUGAAAGAUGGCUUCUUGCUAUCACUUACAGAUGGACCCGCGGCGCAUUAGCUAGUUGGUGAGGUAACGGCUCACCAAGGCAACGAUGCGUAGCCGACCUGAGAGGGUGAUCGGCCACACUGGGACUGAGACACGGCCCAGACUCCUACGGGAGGCAGCAGUAGGGAAUCUUCCGCAAUGGACGAAAGUCUGACGGAGCAACGCCGCGUGAGUGAUGAAGGUUUUCGGAUCGUAAAGCUCUGUUGUUAGGGAAGAACAAGUGCCG